ACCCGGUUAACUCAAUCGGUAAAGCAUUAGACUCUUACAAGUACACGAUCUCAAAGUUGCGGGUUCGACCCCCGCAUCGGGCU